rnacentral:lncRNA from 1 species
UCAAGGACCAAUUUGUCAAUGUCUAAAAGUUCAGGGACUUGUGUUGCAAUUUCGCAAUAAUUAAUGUAUAGGUCUAGGGUAAAGUUGGAUGCUUUGAAGAUGAAAACGGCUCAAGAUUGGUGCUAGAGUUUCGCCCUGACCUCGCUCGAGCCUAAAUAACAGAACCUACGUCGCUGGAGUUUCGCUACCACUUCGCUCGAGCGAGAGUGCGUUGCUAGAGUUUCGGCGACACUUAGCUCGAGCGACAGUGUCAUCCGGCGUUUGGUAAUUUUCCUUCCUUGCGAAUUUUGAACACUCCAUACUACCAAAAACGACCUAGUAUAUAAACAAAAAUUUCGCUUCUCAUUAACAACCUUUGGCAAAACACAUAGCACAAUAUUUUCCUCUCUACCAAAGGAUCAAUUGCAAAACUCUUCACCAUAUGAUUCAUUGAAGGGAAAAAAAAACAUCAAACACCUUUUCAAACAAAACACCUAUCAAAAAUCCUCACUACUUCCAGAAGAUCAGUUGAUUGAAGAUCCGGGAAGGAGGUUGAUUGAAGAACUGGAUUUCUUGUUGAUUCACGGGAAAUAGAAGAAACACAAGGCUGGGAUUUUGGCGCAGAUCUGCAGAAUCCAGGAGAGCUUUGGUUGAUACAGUAAGGAGGUCAGAGUGUUGUUAGAUACAGUCAUGUCUGGCAUACUGUAAGUUGGAGUCUUCUAUAGUGAAUCCCUGCUGGCUUGUGCCCGGAGUUUUUACCCAGUUGGAUUUUCUCCGUCAACAAUUUUUGUGUUAUUUAUUGCUUCUGUCAAUUUCAAUUCAACCGGCAAUUCAACAUAGGUAGUUAAAUCAAGUGAAUGAAUCUGGACAACGUUUAAUUUAUGUGACUUGUUGCAUAACUUAAUUAAAUUGUUAAAUUCCGCAUAGACACCUAUUCACCCCCCUCUAGGUGUUGGUUGGGUCGAACUAUAGCCUUUUCAAGUGGUAUCAGAGCCAAAUCUCGAGUCCUGACCCAUAGUUGUCUAGAUGAGUCAAUCACUUUCUGUACCUCCGUACUUUGACGGAAGUAAUUAUGCUUACUGGAAGGUUAGAAUGCGUGCGUUUCUUAAGUCCUUAGAUGAGCACGUUUGGUUGAGUGUGCAAAAUGGCUGGAAACCUCCCUCCACUAUCGUAUCAGGAACUGUUAACCUUACUGAUAUAUCACUGUAGACUAAGGAUGAGAUAGCUGAGUGUAAUUAGAAUAGCAAGGGACUUCAUGCCUUGUUUAUGGCCGUGUCUCCCGAAGAUUUUUGGAGAGUGUCAAUGUGGGAAAUUGCUAAAGAGGUGUGGGAUAUUCUUGAAACUACACAUGAGGGAACUAAAAUGGUAAAGAACUCGAAAUUACAAAUGCUAGCUUCUAGGUUUGAAGAAGUGAGGAUGAAAGAUGACGAAACCUUUGAUGAAUUUUAUGCAAAAUUGAAUGAUAUUGUUAAUUCUAGUUUCAAUUUAGGCGAGAAAAUUCCCGAGUCUAAAAUUAUUAGAAAAGUACUUAGGUCCUUGCCCGAGAGAUUUAGGCCUAAAGUUACUGCCAUUGGGGAAAGUAAGGAUCUAGAUGAAGUUAAAAUUGAAGAACUUGUAGGAUCCUUGCAAACUUAUGAACUCACUAUCACACAACCUAAGAAAGGAAAGUUCAUUGCUUUAAAAUCCAUCAAAGAGGAUGAAUCUUCCGAUACUGAGUCUCUGAGGGACGAUGAAAUUGCUUACUUUGUGAAGAAAUUUCAAAAGGCUCUCAAGAAUAGGAGAAAGCCUCAGGAUAGAAAAAGUGGAGUCCCUAGCAGAUUCUCAAAAGAAAAAACUGAAAGGUUUAACAAUAAAAGUUCUAGUGAUAAACCACGUUUGGUUAGGUGCCAUGAAUGUCAAGGUAUAGGUCACUAUAGGAAUGAGUGCCCUAGUUAUAAGAAGAAUCAAAGAAAAUGGCAGGGUAAGGCCUUAGCCGUUUCAUUUACUGAUAACGAGUCUGAGACCAGUGAUAGGCAGGAGUCAUCUAGUAGUGAAGAUAAAGGGAACUAUAUGGCAUUUGUGUCGACUAUUAAGAGUGAAUCUGAUAAGGAGAGUGACAAGGUUGAAGAAGAACUUUACAACAAUAAUUCUAGUAAUGAGGAUGAGGAUGACAUAAACAUACAUGAGGCCUACCAACUCUUGUUCAAGGAGAGUCUUAAAAUCAAAAAGAUCAAUAAAGCCCUACUCAAAAAGGUUGAUGAACUUGAAAGAGAAAAAGAGAAACAUGCUAGUAAUCUCCAGAAUUCACUUAAGAGUGCCAGUGAGUUAAAAUGUGUCAAUGAGAAGUUGGAAGACAAGGUUAAGACAUUAACUAGUGAAUUGGAAAAAUCUAAUGCUCAUCUUCAGACUUUCAUAAGUGGAACUAAGAAAUUGGAUGAUAUUUUAGGAAUGAAUAAGCCUACGGGAGAUAGGAAAGGUCUAGGAUUUGUUGAGGGUAAUACACAUGGUGCUGGUCCAUCUAAAACUGUAUUCAUUUCUGCCUCUAGGAAGUCUAACGCUGUCAACAGUCCAAAUAAGGAUAAGAAUGUUUCGAGGGAACAAAGUCAUCAAUCAUGUAGAAAUUUUAUGCCCAAACACCCACAGACAUGUACCUUUGAGCCUAGCUUCAUUCCCACCUAUCACCACUGUGGAGCUCUAGGACACACUAGGCCUAGAUGUUAUAAGUUAGGCAAUGAGCGUAGAAAUCAGAAUAUUCCAAGUCAGGUCAGUUUUCUGACUAAUCAAGUUAGUCAUUUGACUGAGAUGCUUACUAGGCUGACUAGGAUUACCACGUCAUCUAAGAAAGUUUGGGUUAAAAAGGAGGAUCUAGCUGGACUUUCAGGUCAGGUAAAUUGCUAUGGUGCUCAUGUUGCAUUAAAAGCCCAAGAUUUCAAUAUGUGGUACCUUGAUAGUGCUUGUUCUAGGCAUAUGUGUGGUAACAAGGCUUUAUUCACUACUCUUGAUGAAUGCAAUAGGGGUAUGGUUACCUUUGAAGAUGGGGGCUCUGCACCUAUUUUUGGCAAAGGUACUAUACAAAUACAUGGAUUACCUGUGAUCUCAAAUGUGCUUUAUGUGGAAGGUUUAAAGUCGAACUUGUUAAGUAUUAGUCAGAUUUGUGAUGCUAGUUUUGAGGUUAGCUUUGUGGAAAAGAGAUGUACCGUGUAUGAUUCAUUCAGUGGGGGUGGUCCUUGAAGGGGUUAGAACGUCUGAUAACUGUUAUGGAGUCCUACCUAAUUCUAACUAUGUGUGUAGGAGUGCAAAAAUUGAUGUGAGUGAACUCUGGCAUAAAAGAUUGGGUCAUUUAAACUGUAAGAGUCUAGUACAACUGGCUAAAAAGGAGUUGGUAGAUGGUUUGCCUAAAAUAGGUCCUAGUGAAAAUGUUGUGUGUGGACCAUGUCAACUGGGUAAACAAAUUAAAGGAAUCCAUAAAAAGACUUCUAAAAUUUUGACCAAAAGACCACUGGAAUUGAUACACAUGGAUUUAAUGGGACCAUCUAGGACUGAGAGUCUAGGAGGUAAGCGGUAUAUUCUGGUUGUGGUUGAUGAUUUCUCGAGGUUCACAUGGGUAGAACUGCUUAGGGAAAAAUCUGAUGCAUGUGACCUUAUAAAAUCUUUGUGUAAACGGCUUAGUAAUGAACUCAAUCACAAAGUGUCCAGAAUGCGAAGUGAUCAUGGAAAAGAGUUUGAAAAUUUCAAUCUUGAGAGCUUCUGCAUGGAUGAAGGGAUACUACAUGAGUUCUCUUCCCCUAUCACUCCUCAACAAAAUGGGGUGGUUGAAAGGAAGAAUCAUGUUCUUCAGAACAUGGCUAGAGCCAUGCUUCAUGACAAGGGGCUAUCCUUACAUUUUUGGGGAGAAGCUGUUAAUACUGCAUGCCACAUAAUCAAUAGACUCUACUUUAGACCCAAAACCGAUCAGACUCCAUAUGAGAUUCUAAAGGGUAAAAAGCCUAUUGUCAAAUACUUUCGUGUGUUUGGGAGUAAGUGCUACAUUUUGCAUGAUAGAGAGAACUUGAGUAAGUUUGAAUCUAAGAGUGACGAAGGAAUCUUCUUAGGGUAUUCUAGAAAUAGUCGAGCAUUCUGAGUAUAUAACUCACGUACUCGUACUGUGAUGGAGUCAGUCAAUGUUGUGAUAGAUGAUGGUGUGAGUGAAGGGGAGAAUGUUGAAAAUUAUGAUAGAAAUGGUAAUCUUAUAAGGUCUAGUGAUCCUGCUGAACCGCUUCUGCCUGAAUCAUCUCUUAAAAUUCCUGAAACUCCUAAAAAGGAAACACAUCCACAAGAUCAAGACACAAUCCCUAAGGAACCAUCAACUAGGGUCAAGUCUAAUCAUCCUAAGGAUAAUAUCAUUGGGGAUCUGGAUAAAGGUAUGAGGCUUCGUAAGAGAGUACUGAACAAUCUAGCAUAUACUAGCUAUGUUUCAUAGGUAGAGCCUAAGAAAGUCGAAGAGGCCCUUAGUGAUGAGUUUUGGGUAAAUGCAAUGCAUGAGGAACUCAAUCAAUUUGCUAGAAACAAUGUGUGGAUCUUAGUACCCAGACCUGAGAAUUGUAACGUUAUUGGUACUAAGUGGAUCUUUAAGAACAAGACAGAUGACCAAGAUACUAUAACUAGGAAUAAGGCCAGAUUAGUUGCUCAGGGUUAUACUCAAGUUGAGGGAAUUGAUUUUGAUGAGACUUUUGCCCCUGUUGCACGACUUGAGUCUAUUCGGAUUCUGCUUGCUGUUGCCUGUACCUUAGGGUUCAAGCUACAUCAAAUGGACGUUAAGAGUACCUUCUUGAAUGGACUUCUUCAAGAAGAAGUCUAUGUGGAACAACCAAAAGGAUUUGUUGAUCCAAAGUUGAUCCAAAGUUUCCCCACUAUGUCUACAAACUCCACAAAGCACUCUAUGGUCUGAAACAAGCUCCUAGAGGUUGGUAUGAGAGACGUACGUCAUAUCUUGAGGAACAUGGUUUCUCUCGAGGUGGUGCUGAUAGGACCUUAUUUAUUAGACACAUUGAAGAAACUAUCACUAUCGCUCAAAUUUAUGUCGAUGACAUCAUUUUUGGUUCUCCUAUUGAGUCUCUAGCAAAUGAGUUUGCCGAGUGUUUGAAGCAAGAAUUUGAGAUGAGUAUGGUUGGUGAGUUGAGUUAUUUCCUUGGACUUCAGGUGAAAUAGAUUGAGGAUGGCUUGUUUAUUUCACGGUCUAAGUAUGCAAAGGAUCUAGUUAAGUGGUUUGGGUUAGAUAGUAAGAAGCAUACUAGGACACCUAUGAGUACUAGCUUGAAGUUAGGUCGUGAUCUUUCAGGUAAGAGUAUAGAUCCUUCCCUAUAUCGAAGCAUGAUAGGUAGUCUUCUCUAUCUCACAGCUACUAGACUUGACAUUGCUUUUAGUGUUGGAGUGUGUGCUCAAUUUUAGGCAGAUCCCAAAGAAUCACACUUAAGCUCUGUUAAACGCAUCAUUAGAUAUGUGAGUGGUACUGUUGAUCUAGGGAUUUUCUAUUCUAGAAAUUCUAAUCUUGAUUUGGCUGGCUACUCCGACGCCGAUUGGGCGGGGAAUGCAGAUGAUAGAAAAAGUACUUUUGGGGGCUGUUAGCAAUCUAGUAGCCUAGUUAAGUAAGAAACAAAAUUCCAUAUCCCUAUCCACGGCAGAGGCCGAAUACAUAGCAGUUGGAAGUUGCUGCACUCAGCUUCUCUGGAUGAAGCAGAUGCUGAGUGAUUAUGGGAUUAAUCAAGGGACCAUGACCGUUUUCUGUGAUAAUACCAGUGCUAUAAAUAUUUCUAAGAAUCCCAUUCAACAUUCUCGAACAAAACAUAUUGACAUACGACAUCAUUUUAUUCGUGAACUUGUUGAAACACAAGUUGUCUCCUUAGAUCAUGUUUCUACUGACAACCAAUUAGCCGAUCUACUUACGAAACCACUAGAUGGGAUGAGGUUUGAGUCGCUUCGGACGGCUGUUGGUAUUUUUUUGCCUAUUUGAUCAUGAAUUCAUGCAUAUUUAUGCAUUUAUCAUAUUUGCACUUAUUCAUUUCAUAUCUUGUAUGUGAUAAAUGUGUGUGUGGUGCAUUUUGUUUGUUAGUUUUUUUUUUGUUUUUAUUUUGAGUAUUAAGUUUGCAUUUGAAAUUUAAAAUUAAAAAAAAAAUUAAAAAAUAAAUAAAAUAAAUAAAUAAAUUUUUUGUGUGCAUCGUGUAUGACGUUAUGAUGUUUGCAUUCAGGAUCAAACUCUAUUUUUCAUCAUGUGUACGAGUCUGAGGUUUCAUCGUAAUUCUCACUUUCUGUGGAGUUCUUAGUAUACGGCUCGUCAUGAAUUUUCGCAUAGCACACACUGUAGUCCUGUAGGUGGGUCUUGACCGCAUGGGUGAGACUUGGGAUGGUAUUCUUCUGUGAUUGGGGUUGUUUGUCCAUUUGACUUGAUCUGUGACGAGUGUAACCUAAUCAAUAUUGUCUUUCCCCAUUUUCUACAUUAUUCUUUGAACUCAUUUCUGUCUUCGGAGCCUAUUUGACUCGAACAAUUAAGCUUUAGGGGUUUCUAACCUGGUGCCCUAUAGUCGUCUGGCUUAGGAGUCACCGGCCCAAAGUUCGUUACAUGGGUCAUUUCUGUCGCCUAAUGAAGAUAGGAUUGCACCUAAGUUCUUAUGUUAUAUAUAUAUAUAUAUAUAAUAAAAAAAUGGCAUACAGUUAGGAGGCAUAAAAUUGUGACAAUUAUACUGUUUGAUAUAGGUCCUCAUGGAAUUGGAUUUAACUGGCACUUGGUCAAUAUACACUCUUUUACAGUUAUUUUUAACGUGUCCUUUCUCACUAAUUUAAGGUUUUGAGUCUAACUUGCACGGACUACGUGGCACAUUUCACGCUGAUGUUUUGUAUAAAAUUUACUUCAUGGGAUUUUGAACUAUGUGUGGACUUAAGAUUUGUCUACAUGCUCUGAAUGUCGGGUUUGUGAGUUUGUGCAUAUUAUUCGUAUCGUCUACAUAUUUGGGUACAUGCUUUAUCAUCGAUUUUUUAGUUUGUCUUUACAAAAACAAAAAAUAAUAAUAAUACAUACAACUGAAAAUAAAAAUAAAAGUUUUUGGACCUAUUUUCGUUAGUUUCCAAAAUUGUGCUACUUUUCAUAAAUUUCAAAUGUUUGGUGCUAUGUUUGACAUUUCAUUUUCGCUCGAGUCUCGCCUGGACUUCGCUCGAGCGACAAAAGCAGAAAGGAUGUCGCUCGAGUUUUGCCCCGGUCUCGCUCGAGCGACAUAUAUAUUUAAAAUAUGGCUGUUUCAAUUUUUCGCACAUUUCAUCAUUUGUUUUCCUCCUCCUUCAAUUCUUUUCUUCUUCCAUCGAAAUUAUUCACUCCUAAUUCAUUUUUGGCCUCAAUUCGACAUCUUUAACACAAUCUUGGGUCUGAAACACUGACUUCUUGGCAAAAUCUUUAGGUAAUUCCCAACUUUCUUUGCUUUCAAUUUUUUUUGGUUUGUUUGAUUUCUUUUCUUGAUCAUUGUGUUGAUUUGUGUUAUUUGGCAUUACAUCUUGCUUGUACACAUGUUUUUGCAUCAAGUAUUGCUUUCCAUUUCCCAAAUUAUAGUGCAUUCCUAUGGUUUUCUUCACAUUUUUUAAGUUUUUGGUCCAUGUUCAUCAAUGUAGUUCUUGCACCUCGUUGAUUCGUUUGAUGUGUGGUUUGUUUGAUUGUGAAGUCUAUAGCAUGUAGUUUUUAUGGAUGUGUUUGGAUUUGUGAUUGGGUCUCGUAUGUGCUUGGAAUUUGGUGCCAAAGUCACGUACGCCACGUGUUCGAUAAAAGUUCACUUUUAUGCUUAUUUGGUUUCUUUUGAUUUUUUUAUUUCCUUCUUUUCCUUCGUUUCUUUCCUACUUGUUUGAGUGUCGUUGCAUGCCGUGUGUGUUUUCAUUCAUGUUUAUGUGAUUGGAUCAUAUGUGUUUCCGUGUGUGCAUCUUCUCAUAUCAUGUUGCAUCGUGAUGCGUGCAUUUCACAUUAUGCUUAUUCUUUUCAUCUCUGCAUGUGCCAGAUGGCUCGUAAGUGCUCUCGUACCUCUGCACAGCCCGCUAGUGGAUCGACAUCUUAUAGUAGAUCCUGAUUUAUUUCUGCUACAGCUCAGGAGGUCUUCACGUCUCAAUUCUCUUUACGCCCCGUUCUCAUGGAGUGUGAGGUAAUUCUAUCUGACCUUCCUGUUGACGUCGCCGCUAUUUUUGUUUCCCGGGGUUGGGAGCCCCUUCUUGUUGGUCUUACACCACUGCCUCCACUCUUCGUUCAAGAGUUUUAUGCUAAUAUUCAUGAGGUGGAUGGGUCGUCGUUUAGGAGUUUUCUUACAGGUCAUUUUUUUCGAGUUACUCCGUCUGUAGUAGCUCUUGCGUUAGGUAUACCUCAGAUUCCUCAUCCGACAUAUCCCUAUCUUCUCCCUGCUUCUCUUCCGGCCGAUGCCCUUGUUCGAUUGACUCUUUUGAACACCCCGUCUACUGGGGGGCCUACGGCUAUGGCCAUGGGUUCAUUACCCAAUGAUCAACAGGUUUUGUUGUGCAUCGUGUGCAAAAAACCUGUGGCCUGUUGCCCAUACUUCUUCUUUAUCGAUGGUACGGGCUCAUUUUCUAUAUUCCAUACUUUAUAGGGACUAUCGACCUUCCUACUUUUGUGUGCCAGCAGAUUCUAACUUCUUUUCGUACUCCUAGUGGUCAUUUAGGGUUACCUUAUGCCUGUUUGAUUCAUCAGGUUGUCCUUUCUCUUGGUGCAUCUUUCCCUGAGGGGUCUUCUACUCGUAUAGGUCGCCCGAUAGGACAGCAAACCAUUCACCAGAGUCGAUCCCAUGUCCCGUCCUCUUCGGCUCAUGCUGCCGCUUAGGCUGAGCCCGUUGAUGUUUUUGAUUUUUCGGAGCCCUUUGAUCCUAUUAUUGAUAUUCUUACUAGGGGUUCCCGUGUCUUUCUUUUGCCUCGUUCGAAUUUUUCUUCAGCUGUUUCGUUUCUAGCUACCUUUGCUUUGACAUCUACUUCUGCUCCAGGGGUGGCUUCCUUGCCUGUUGACCCUAUGGUGACGCUUAUGGGUCAGAUGUCUACUUUGGUCGCCGCAGCAGGCUCGUAUGAUGGCAGAGAUCACGUAGUUACGUGCUGUUUCGGAGCAUCAGUCUGCUGAGCUUUCUUCAUUUCAGCGUGCUCUAUCAGUGUGUCAGCGUCAGUUGCGUUGGAUUCAUGAUCGAUUGGAUGAGAGCUCGAGUGACAAGACUAGUGAUGAGUCACCGAGUGCGGGUGGUGCUGCUUCUUAGUUUUAGUUUUAGUUUUUGAUCCUUUGUCAUUUGUGACAAAAAGGGGGAGUAGAUAGUUUAAUCUCAAUUUAACUGUGAUAUAUUGGAUUAACUGUGAUAUAACUGUGGUUUGAUAUCUAUUUAAUGACUAGAUUAAGUUUUGAUAUUUUAGCAAUAUUGAUGUAUGUUUUUGGUGUUUUUUUGACUUACAUUACUAUUGCUUCUUAAUCUGGUUAAUUACAUAUGCACUAUUCCUUGUUUUAUCUACUGUUUCCAUUUCACGUGCAUUUACACUUGGUAUUGAGUUUCUAUAUUUCAGGAAACAGGUUCGACAGGAGAUAGUUGCUUUGGUUGAAUGAAUAGGUCGUUAGGAGUUACAUUUUUUUUGUGUCCUUGACCGUCUUGUGUAAUUUUGUCAUAGAAUACCAAAGGGGGAGUUUGUUAGGAAAAUGUUGUAAUUGCCAAUCUGUGACCAAAAGGACUAAUUUGUCGAGUUUGUAAAGUCAAGGACCAAUUUGUCAAUGUCCAAAAGUUUAGGGACUUGUGUUGCAAUUUGGAAAUAAUUAAUGUAUAGGUCUAGGGUAAAGUUGGAUGCUUUGAAGAUGAAAAUGGCGCAAGAUUGGUGCUAGAGGUUUGCUCUGACCUCGUUCGAGCCUAAAUAACAGAACCUGCGUCGCUGGAGUUUCGCCACCACUUCGCUCGAGUGAGAGUGCGUCGC